GCGAGUAAGCGGCUACAAAACCGCUUCGUGGGUUCAAAUCCCACCCUCUCCGCCAAUUUUUUGGGGUCAAGUUGCGGUCCUCUGUAGGCUCAGUUCCAUGCGGCGAUGUCCUGUGAAACCCGCCAGGCCCGGAAGGGAGCAACGGUAAGCAGUGUACAUCGGGUGCCAUGGAAAAGCUGGGUCGAAAGAGGGCCGCAUUUUUAUUUUCCAAUAAACGAGGGCGUAUUUUAUUUGC
rnacentral:SRP_RNA from 1 species